CUACAAAAUAAAUCUUCCCCACCAGUAGCUCGCCCUCAUCAAUCAUCGUUUCACAGAAAUAGAGGCACCCGGCAAUAUACACAACAGGAGUUCCUUGAAUUGAGAGCUAAAGGUCUCUGUUAUAAAUGUAAAUAGCCUUUUCAACCCAUGCAUGAGUGCCCCAACAAAACCCUAAGAGCUCCAAUUGUUGGAGAUGAUGAGCCAAUUCCUAUAGAGCUGGAAUAAGAAUUGGGAUUAGUUGAAUCUGAGACUCCAAAUGUGAUGAUCACUGAUGAAGCCCACUUCAAUCGCAUGGAAUUACCCUUUUAUUCAGUAGGAGGCAUCUCUUCUCCUAAAACCUUGAAAUUACAAGGCUGGAUUCAAGGAAGGGCACUGACUGUGAUGAUAGAUAGUGCUGCCAGUCACAAUUUUAUCUCUGGUACGAUUGCUUCUCAAUUGAAUUUAACUAUUGCUUAUACUCCUAUUUUUGGUGUUCGUUUGGGUGAUGGUCACAGAGUCCAGUCGAUGGGUGUCUACCAUGAUGUUAAAAUUAACUUGGGAAACUUGGAAAUAUUUGUUGAUUGCUAUGUGUUUCCUCUCGGUGGUGUUGAUUUAAUAUUGGGAGUUGCUUGGUUAGCAACGUUAGGUGAGGUUUGGAUUAACUGGGCAACUAUACAGAUGAAGAUUUUUCAAAAUGGACAACAAAUUCUUCUGUCGGGUAAUCCUUCAUAUACCAGGACGAAAAUCUCUAUUCUUCAAUUGUCGAAAUUAACAGAUGUGGAAUUCUCUAUGUUGCUAUGGGAAUUAUCAAGUCUUGAGCAUUCUUAUAACUUUGAUGCUGAGAUAACUCUAUCACAGCAACAUGAGUUAUCUACCUUGCUGCAGGAAUUUCAAUCUAUCUUUGGUGAUUUAACUGCUCUGCCUUCCCGACGAAUCACCAAUCAUGUUAUUCCUUUGGUACAGGGUACUUCAGCAAUUAAUGUUAAACCCUAUCGCUACGGACAUUAUCAAAAAGAUGAAAUAGAGAAAUUGGUGGCUGAAAUGUUAACCGCUAGAAUUAUAAGGCCAAGCACAAGUCCGUUUUCAAGUCCAAUUUUGCUAGUUAAAAAGAAAGAUAAUAGCUGGAGGUUUUGCGUUGACUACAAAACUCUUAAUAAAGCAACAAUUCCAGAUAAAUAUCCGAUCUCAAUCAUCAAUGAGAUGUUAGAUGAAUUGAAUGAGGCAACAUAUUUUUCAAAACUUGAUCUUAAAUCUGGGUAUCAUCAAAUUAGAGUGGUUGAUAAAGAUAUACCAAAAACAGCAUUUCGAACUCAUUCAGGCCAUUACGAGUUUGUUGUCAUGCCUUUUGGUUUGACGAAUGCACCGAUGACAUUCCAAUCUACCAUGAAUGAUCUAUUUAGGCUGUAUCUUUGGCGGUUUGUAUUGGUAUUUUUUGAUGAUAUACUGGUUUAUAGCUGCUCUUGGGAAGAUCAUAUGAAUCAUCUACGGGUGGUGUUACAAUUGUUGCUGCAAAAUCACUUCCGAGUUAAUCAAAAGAAGAGCUCCUUUGGAAAGACGAUGGUGGAGUAUCUUGGACAUAUUGUAUCCGCUCAAGGAGUAGCCAUGAAUCCCUCCAACGUUGCAACUGUCCUUAAUUGGCCUCAACCUAAGUCCUUGAAAGCUGUUCGGGGCUUCCUUGGAUUAAAUUGGAUAUUACCGACGCUUCAUUCAAGGGUAUGGUACUAUUGCUAAACCCUUGACCCAGUUACUUAAAAAGGAGCAUCAUGGUCAGUUGGAUUGGAAUCCAGAGGCACAACAAGCUUUUUUUAAUUUAAAGUGGGCUUUAGCAACUUCUCUAGUCUAGGAACUCCAAAUUUUUCUAAGGAAUUUAUUGUGGAAUAUGACGCGUCGAGUACUAGUUUGGGGGCUGUUCUUAUGCAAAAGCGUUGUCCGAUUGCUUAUUUCAGCAAGGCCCUAUCAUCUAGAACUUUGUCUAAGUCCACUUAUGAGCGAGAAAUGAUGGCUCUUGUAUUAGCAGUACAACAUUGGAGGCCUUAUUUAUUGGGAAGGAAAUUUUUUGUUUACACUGACCAAAGUAGUUUAUGACAUCUCUUAGAGCAACAUAUCACAACCCCUGCCAAGCAAAAAUGGGGAGCCAAGCUACUGGGGUAUGAUUUUAAGAUUAUUUACAAGCCUAGAUCUUCAAAUGUAGCUGUGGAUGCUUUAUCCAGGAGGGAAGAAGAGCUUGAAUUGCAGGUUAUUAGUUUGCCUCAAUGGAUGGACUGGGAUCAAAUUGAGAGGGAGAUUAACAAUGACUCUCAUCUUCAAAAAAAAUUUCAUGACUUGCAAGCCAAUUUGUCCUCACUCCUCAUUAUUCGUUGGUCCAAAAUAGGCUAUUUUACAAAGGUAGAUUGGUUAUUCCGCAGAAUUCUCCUUGGAUUUCUAAAUUAUUAACUAAAUUUCAUUCCUCUCCAUUAGGGGGACAUUCAGGAGCAUUUCGUACAUAUAAGAGGUUGGCUUCAAAUCUCUACUGGCUUAGAAUGUUGAAAUCUGUCAAGAAUUUUGUAGCAUAAUGUUUGACAUGCCAAAAACAUAAGUACGAAGCUUCAUCUCCUGCGAGACUUCUUCAACCACUCCCAAUUCCAACUAGAGUAUGGGAGGAUAUUUCCUUAGAUUUUAUUACGGGGCUCCCUAGCUCAAAUGGAUUUGAUGCUAUUCUGGUGGUUGUUGAUCGUCUGUCUAAAUAUGCACAUUUUUUGUGCCUUCGCCAUCCUUAUACUGCUAUAAGUGUUGCUGAUCUAUUUGCCAAGGAAAUAGUCCGACUCCAUGGGAUGCCACGGUCUAUUGUUAGUAAUUGUGAUCCAAUUUUUCUAAGUCAUUUCUGGUCUGAGGUGUUCCGUUGCAAGGCACACAAUUGCGGAUGAGCACUGCUUAUCAUCCGGAAACCGAUGGUCAGACUGAGGUUUUAAAUAGGGGACUUGAGACUUAUCUUCGUUGCUUUACUUCUGAGCAACCUAAACAUUGGAGUAAGUGGAUUGCAUGGGCCGAAUAUUGGUAUAACACAAGCUUUCACACAGCUGCAGGAAUUACUCCUUUCCAGGUUGUUUAUGGAAGAGAAUCACCUACUCUUCACCAGUUCUUACUAGGUGAAACUAAAGCUGAGGCUAUGGCACAAGAAUUGGCUACAAGAGAUGAACUUUUGAGACAGCUUGCUUAUAAUUUGUCUAGAGCACAACAGAGGAUGGUUAAAGCUGCAAACAAAAACCAACGGGAGGUCCAUUUUAAUUUCGGAGAUUCAGUUUUUUUGAAACUUAGGCCUCACGUCAAAGCACUCUCAAACAGGUUGUUCACUCUAAACUGGCUACUCGUUACUUUGGGCCCUUUACUAUUAACAAGAAAGUGGUAAGUGUUGCUUACAAACUGCAAUUACCUGAACAUGCAAGAAUCCACCCAGUAUUUCAUGUUUCUCAACUUAAAAGGGUCAUUGGCCAGCAUCAAGUGGUUCUAGCAUUGCCUAAGGAAUUGGAAGUGGAUGAAGAGUUAAUUGAACCUGAAGAUGUUUUGCAGCAUAGAAUUUCUACUAUCAAUGGCAAUUCAAUUUCUCAAUUGUUAACCAAAUAGAAGGGUAAACCAAUUGAAGAAGCAACAUGGAUGGCCUACUUUGAUGUUGUCAACCAGUUUCCUGCCUUCAGCCUUGAGGGCAAGGCUGUUCUUUAAGGGGUGAGCAAUGAUAUGGGUCUUAAUGCUAAUCCAGAGAAUGUGAGCCGAGGUCCAAAACCACUGAGAGUCUACUAUAGGAAGAAUUUUAAGAAAAAGGAAGAUUCUAGAAUAGGACAGCUGGAAGGGAUCAAUUUGAAGGUUAUUCAGUUAGAG
rnacentral:misc_RNA from 1 species